AUGCACGCUGGCGGCGUGCCUCAUACAUGCAAGUCGAGCGAACAGACGAGGAGCUUGCUCCUCUGACGUUAGCGGCGGACGGGUGAGUAACACGUGGAUAACCUACCUAUAAGACUGGGAUAACUUCGGGAAACCGGAGCUAAUACAGGAUAAUAUAUUGAACCGCAUGGUUCAAUAGUGAAAGACGGUUUUGCUGUCACUUAUAGAUGGAUCCGCGCCGCAUUAGCUAGUUGGUAAGGUAACGGCUUACCAAGGCAACGAUGCGUAGCCGACCUGGGAGGGUGAUCGGCCACACUGGAACUGAGACACGGUCCAGACUCCUACGGGAGGCAGCAGUAGGGAAUCUUCCGCAAUGGGCGAAAGCUUGACGGAGCAACGCCGCGUGAGUGAUGAAGGUCUUCGGAUCGUAAAACUCUGUUAUUAGGGAAGAACAAAUGUGUAAGUAACUAUGCACGUCUUGACGGUACCUAAUCAGAAAGCCACGGCUAACUACGUG
rnacentral:rRNA from 1 species